rnacentral:rRNA from 1 species
AUUGAACGCUGGCGGCAGGCCUAACACAUGCAAGUCGAGCGGAGCGGCGGACGGGUGAGUACUGCCUAGGAAUCUGCCUGGUCGUGGGGGAUAACGUCCGGAAACGGGCGCUAAUACCGCAUACUAUCAGAUGAGCCUAGGUUGUAUGAGCUAGCUGGUGGGGUAAAGGCCUACCAAGGCGACGAUCAGUAACUGGUCUGAGAGGCUGAUCAGUCACACUGGAACUGAGACACGGUCCAGACUCCUACGGGAGGCAGCAGUGGGGAAUAUUGGACAAUGGGCGAAAGCCUGAUCCAGCCAUGCCGCGUGUGUGAAGAAGGUCGUCGGAGUGUAAAGCACUUUAAGUUGGGAGGCGUUACCAAAAGAAUAAGCACCGGCUAACUUCGUGCCAGCAGCCGCGGUAAUAC